CUAACUUGAUUGCAAUUGUUUGGGACUUGGGAGUACUUUUUGUCCUGUUAUUUUUCGCUGUGAGCAAUCCUCGAACCCUCCUGUUUGCUGCGUGAAUACUCGAACCCUCCCGUUUACUGCGUGGUGGCGAAUUGAUGGCAGUUUGUUUUUCUGGGGAUUUUAUUUUUGGGGGAGAACCCUCCUCCUGCUGCUCCUCGUUAGGUCUGCGGCCAUGGAUGUUUUUACUUCACGAGAGUUCUUUUCAUGGCAAUAUGCUGACGAGAGUACGGAAGAUGUGCGUUUCAUUUGUAUGUAGAACCAUGGGUUAGUUUUGCUUCUAACACAAGCUAUACUUGUGCAGUAUUAGCCUUUGAAAUGCAUCCCCCUCUGACCUUGCACAGACAUCCUAUGUGCCGAGAUUAUUGAAGAAUUCCAAAAGUGCCAUUUGGAUAACCCUCUCAAGAAGUUUUUUGGAGAGUGCAUUGAACUUAAAGUUAAGCUGGAUCGCUGCUUCCGGCAGGAGAAAGCUCUGAAGAGAAAGGCAAACUUUGAUGAGAGCAAGAAAUUUAAAGAACAACUUCAGGCCUAUAAGAGGGAGAUUGCAGAGAAAUCUCAGGAAUAAAAACAUCAGAGCAUAGGAUAAAGACCAAAACGUGGAUGAUCAUUAUCUGUCACAAUAUGUCCUGCGAAGGAAGUGUACCAUGUGAUUUGAUAAAGUUUAUAUACUUCGGGAACACAGUUUUCAAACGGUAGCUAAUGCUCAGUUCCUUGAGAGUUGAAUUUCUUUCUUGACUAUGAGAUUAUGUUGAUUUUUCGUCCAUGCAUUUUUCUGUAGCACUGAAGCUUCGUGCCAGAUUUAUAGACACAGCUCUUAUUUUGUUAUCGGUUAUUCAGUUGUAAGGAAAGUUGUAUUAAACAUGCUUAAUGUGUUAAGUAGCACAUGUAAUGUACUAUACCAAAUUACCUAUAUAGAUUGGUCAACAAGGAGAACGAAAA